GGAGAGAGAAGGGAAAUUGCAUGGAAAUGGAAGGAGACCCUCAGGGUUAUACAAAAGUUCAUAGCUUCAAUUUAAAAAUUAUUACAUUUGAGGACACUAGGUUUGUAUUCCAACGUUGUAAUCAUCAAUUUGUAUUUAACACAGAUUGACUUUCACAGGUACAGAAAGAGCCUGCUUCAUUUUGCUCUACUCAUACAAUGUAUGCAAUCAUAUAUUAAGACUUAGUCUCAUCUAUGUUAUUUUAUGGACUGUAGAGGCAUUUGAAAUUAGGACUGUGUUAGCUAGUUAGCUAGAAAAAUACCAUUCAACUGAUUUAAACAAUAGCUCCAUUUCUAAAACUCUAAUGUAAGCUUUUUAGAAUGUCUUAUCCCCUGGACUAGUAUGUUCUCCCUUGCUUAUCUCUGCACCUAUGUGAGCUUAAGGCUGUAUGACUGCAUCAUCUGAAGUUUUGAAUUUAAUGCUUUAAAGCUUCAGGGAUCUCCUUGCUGUGUUUCCAUAAUUUUAUUCAAAGAAUUAUAAACAUAGUCUGAUGCUUUGUUAACUUCAAUAUUUAAUAAUUAUUUAUAUUGAACUAUUGUGCUGCUUGGAUAUAUUGACAUGUAUUUUCAAUUCAAUAAAAAUAUACCAUGGAACAACAACAACAACAAGCUACCAGAGAUUAGAAAGACACUAUGAGCAAAGGUGUGGGUCAAGCUAAAUUUUGCUGGAGCUGAAAAACAGGAAACAUUCAGUUGACAUAGAGGACUUUGUCUUAUCUACAAACAUCCUUGCAGCCAACAAUCUCUUUGGUGCUGUACUGUAUAAACUGACAGAGAGGUAAAUUGUAAUUUUUGAGAGAAGUGCAGAUAAAUUCUGAAUAACUACACUCAGAAGUUAUUAUUUUAGAAGAUCUUCAAACCAAAAAGGAAGUGAAAAACCAGUCAUGUAGUCAAAUGAGAAAAUCAUUUCCAGGCAAGCCAAGCAUCAGCAAACUAGGGAUCCUCAGAGGGUAGUUAUGAGGAUGAAAAUAACUUAUUCAAAAACUUCACAAGUUCUGACUUCUGGUAAGAUGGAAGACAGACCAUUUCAUUCAGGUAGGGACUAUGUCCAUCUUUUUCACCAUUGUAUCGCCAAGGUUCAGCCCAUAUGGAACUCAUAAAUACUUGAAUAACUAAAAGAUAAAACUACACAUGA
rnacentral:lncRNA from 1 species